GAUGAAGAACGUAGCGAAAUGCGAUAAGUAAUGUGAAUUGCAGAAUUCAGUGAAUCAUCGAAUCUUUGAACGCACCUUGCGCCCUUUGGCUAUUCCGAAGGGCAUGCCUGUUUGAGUAUCAUGAACACCUCAACUCUCAUGGUUUGCCAUGAUGAGCUUGGACUCUGGGGGUCUUGCUGGCCUAUGGUCAGCUCCACUCAAAUAAAUCAGCUUGCCAGUGUUUGGUGGCAUCACAGGUGUGAUAACUAUCUACGCUUGUGGUUUUCCAUCAGGUAACCUUCAGUGAUGGAGGUUCGCUGGAGCUCAUAAAUGUCCCUCCUCAGCGAGGACAGCUUUUUGAACGUUUGAUCUCAAAUCAGGUAGGACUACCCGCUGAACUUAAGCAUAUCAAUAAGCGGAGGA
rnacentral:misc_RNA from 1 species